CAAAAAAGACACCCUGGGUUUCCGUGUCCAACGUUUGACUGUCCGCCUUAUAUGAAAUUUUUUUAUAAUUAGUAUUUUCAUUGUUGUUAGAUGAUAAAAUAUGAUUAAUACUUUAUGCGUGACUUGUGUUUUAAAUUUUUUCAUAUUUUUUUCAAAUAAGACAGACGGUCAAAUGUUGGACACGGAAACUCAGGGUUUAUCUUUUU
rfam:Oryza meridionalis cultivar OR44 (W2112) chromosome 1, whole genome shotgun sequence.